AGGAGUAUAAAGAAUCUUAGACACCAUAAACUUUGUUCCACAAUCUUAGACACCAUAACAUAGCUAAGGGUAGCAAUAUGGCUGACAACAAGACAAUGUCAGCUUCCACAUAGUUCUUAAUUCUUCUGUUUGCUGGAUGUUCACCACAAUACUCUGUGCAACACCCCAAUUGUUGAAAGGGUAAUACAGAAAUAGCGGCAUUAGACAGCACUGCAUCUUCAGGACUUUCCAAGUUAGUUUUAUGUCCUCAUAAGUAAGCAUCUCAGUUUCUUCGGCCAGCAUGUUUUUUGACCAAACAGAUUUAAUUGCAAAAAAAGGUAGGUCAGCCAGAGAGAUUGGUGUGUAGUCCCAAAUAUCAGGCAGCACAAAUACUCCAGUACGGUCUCUAUAAUCAUACAAACACAAGGAUCAGUACGACAUCAAUAAAUUAAUUAUCUAGGCUAAACUCAAAUUAGAGACUAAAGUUAAACUCUUAACUAGUGUAACAUGUACGUCUCUCAGUUUUGUUUAUGUCCUUUAUAAAAUUUUAAUACAUAAUUUCCCUUUAAAAUGCCUUGUAUGGAUGAGAGAAGCACUCAUUCUAUAUAAAUGCUUGUUGAGUACUAAAACACUAACAUAUACAUAUUGGUAUAAUUCCCAAUAAAAUGCUGUUCUUAAACUUAAACCUUGAUUUGAUAAUCUCAAUUAAUUACUUUAAUAAAAUUUUGUGGACCCUGAUAACAUCUUUGGAAACCGAAACCUUUUAUAGAUCCCGAUGUGUGUGAUCAUGUUUUAAUACAUGUUGGAACCUCCAUACAGUUAUCCCACUUAAACAAUAUAUUUUUUUUCAGAACAACUAGGAAUGAAAUAGGAGAAACAAAAUAAAUUACUAUUGUUCUAAAGUGCUUUGUUUAAUACAGGUUUAGGAAGAGUUGUCUUGCUGUGUUGCAAGUGGCCUCUGAUAAGGAAGGGACAGCAAACUGUAGACAUAUGUUAUAUUAAGUUGCUCUCACUUGUCAGGUCUUGGAAACCCACUUAAUUUAUUGCAGAUGCCUCUAUU